AGAGUUUGAUCCUGGCUCAGAUUGAACGCUGGCGGCAUGCCUUACACAUGCAAGUCGAACGGCAGCACGGGAGUAAUCCUGGUGGCGAGUGGCGAACGGGUGAGUAAUAUAUCGGAACGUGCCCAGUCGUGGGGGAUAACGCAGCGAAAGCUGUGCUAAUACCGCAUACGAUCUCUGGAUGAAAGCGGGGGACUCGCAAGAGCCUCGCGCGAUUGGAGCGGCCGAUAUCAGAUUAGCUAGUUGGUGGGGUAAAAGCCCACCAAGGCGACGAUCUGUAGCUGGUCUGAGAGGACGACCAGCCACACUGGAACUGAGACACGGUCCAGACUCCUACGGGAGGCAGCAGUGGGGAAUUUUGGACAAUGGGCGCAAGCCUGAUCCAGCAAUGCCGCGUGCAGGAUGAGGGCCUUCGGGUUGUAAACUGCUUUUGUACGGAACGAAACGGCUCUUUCUAAUAAAGAGGGCUAAUGACGGUACCGUAAGAAUAAGCACCGGCUAACUACGUGCCAGCAGCCGCGGUAAUACGUAGGGUGCGAGCGUUAAUCGGAAUUACUGGGCGUAAAGCGUGCGCAGGCGGUGAUGUAAGACAGAUGUGAAAUCCCCGGGCUCAACCUGGGACCUGCAUUUGUGACUGCAUCGCUAGAGUACGGUAGAGGGGGAUGGAAUUCCGCGUGUAGCAGUGAAAUGCGUAGAUAUGCGGAGGAACACCGAUGGCGAAGCAAUCCCCUGGACCUGUACUGACGCUCAUGCACGAAAGCGUGGGGAGCAAACAGGAUUAGAUACCCUGGUAGUCCACGCCCUAAACGAUGUCAACUGGUUGUUGGGUCUUUACUGACUCAGUAACGAAGCUAACGCGUGAAGUUGACCGCCUGGGGAGUACGGCCGCAAGGUUGAAACUCAAGGAAUUGA
rnacentral:rRNA from 1 species